rnacentral:tRNA from 1 species
GGGCCCGUAGCUCAGUUGGAUAGAGCGAUUGCCUCCUAAGCAGUAGGUCAUCAGUUCAAUUCUGGUCGGGCCCGCCA